UCCCACAUCCCCUUUUUGACCCUCUCGCUACCGGCCGCGGGGCGCCACCAACUCCUCGCACCCCGGCUCCCCCUCGGCUGCUCCCGAUCCAGCGCUUGCCCAUCGCCGCGCGAUGCCCCUGCUCCCUGCCCGUCACCGCCCGAAGGCCAUCGUCGCAUUCCCCUUGUACUGCCCAUCGGGUCCACGCAGGCCGUGCUGGUCCACGCCGGCUGCUCCAUAGGUCGGAGCAGGCCGAGAGGCGGAGAAGGUGCUGCGCGAUGUACUCCGCGGCCGUGGUGGACAUGAGGAGUCCAUGCCUGGAGAUGAUUCACAAUGAGAGGUUGCUCCUUCCCCUUUUCUCUUUUCGUAAUUCCUAUAUGUCCAGGCUGUCUUUUAGGUCGCCCCUCAUCUGGACGGACUGAAUCGGAGUUGGGGACUGGACGGAUUCGCGCUGUCCUCAGCUCGCUCGCUGUUGAUGUGCUGCGCGAGGCGGGUUGCUUCAUGCUCUGACUUUGAGGCCGUAGGAUUCAUAUUUCUGGAGAAAUUUUCUUGUCUAGCGAGCAAGGGGCAGGGGCUUGGCAUGUAUAGGUAGGCUGUCUAUCUUCACCAAGGUGAAGACUUGGUGACUUAGUCAAUUCAGCUUCCUGGCUUGGUAGAAAUCUGCCAAGUUCUAUCAGUUGCGUCUGUGCGUGAGCUAGAUGUCUAAUUGUUUCAUGUACCUAUGGCUGCAGUGCCCAAUUGAACCAAAAAGAAUGAAAUGUUCUAGCUGUAUGUAUAUUAAACCCUGCACUAGUAAUGCUAGCUCCAAACACUAUUGGCUAAUCAGGCAUGCACAGUUGCAGCUGCAGUUGGGCUUUUUGCUUCUACAGAGCUCCUGCUGCAGUUCUGCAGUUGAUGAAUGAUUUGAACCGAAAGUGUCAGAGACGCUGCAAUCUCAUGUAUUGAGAUAAUAAAUGAUGAAGAUGGUGGCAAGCACAAGUGGUAACCAUCUCCAUC